CUGCCCCUGGCCAUGCGGAGGCGUUAACUGGGGUUCCUGUCGGGUGUUGGACUCCAACGCAAACUUCCCAUCCGAAGCCUUCAGGGGCUCCUCGGGAACCAGGACUAGGAACUAAGGCCAACGCAAUGCCGCCUCCGCCCUGCAGGGCGAGGGCCCCACGAAAAAAGGCGCUCCCGCCGCACACCUCUGGCACCCCAAGCCGAGGGGGCGCUCCCCGCUCCCUCUUACCUGAAGGUACCACCAAUCUUCGCCCGCCCCCUACCUGGUCUAGGGUUGGGGUCCCUGCCCCACCCCCAACGUCUCUCGGUGACCCUCACGGGAGCGGGGCGUGGCCCUUCCACCUGCCCUGGCGGCUCUCUGCAACCUGAGGUGGAAAGGAAGGCAGGAGGCGCCAGGUGAGGCGCCCUUCUCGGCCCGGCACCGCCCUGCUGCCAGUCACCCGUCUUGCCCCCACCGCGCCCUGACGCCAGCGCUGCUGGUGCGGGCCGAGUAGAGAUUAGGGGGCCCUCUCCGAAUCGGCGCAGGAAGGUAGCUGCGACGGCGGCCCCGCGCGCCUGCGCACCAGCGCCCCCUGACCAGCAGGCCUCUCCCGGGGCGCCGCGUUCCAGCCCCGAGGGCACGUGGCAGGUGGGACGGUUGGGCAGGAUUAGCCGCUCCGGGGUCAGGUGUGAGGUCCGCCCCAGUCUCAGGAGCCGCUGGGCCCGGCUGCAGAGGCUGGCCGCCUUCCAGGAUCCCAGGCGCCUACGUCCUCCGACGCGGUGGGAAGACGCGAGGUUUAAUAUAUGACAGCAAGGAGCACCCCGGAGGCUGCCAGCGCAUGUGACUUCGUGUUUCUGUGCUACAUGAGACUAGUGUCCUCAUCUUCCAUCGUGACAACCCUUCUCUCUCCCCCAACCCUCUCCCCCGCCCACAGUGCCAACAGGCUCUGGGCAAAGCUG
rnacentral:lncRNA from 1 species